ACUUUUUAGGGCUGCACCCAUGACAUAUGGAGUUUCCCAGGCUAGGGGUCGAAUCGGAGGUGUAGCUGCUGGCCUACACCACAGCCACAAAAACGCCAGAUCCAAGCUGCAUCUGCAUCUGUGACCUACACCACAGCUCAUGGCAACACCUGAUCCUUAACCCACUGAGAGAGGCCAGGGAUUGAAGCUGAGUCCUCAUGGAUCCCAGUUAAAUUCAUUUCCACUGAGCCACGAUGGGAACUCUGGUGCCUCUGUUCUAUACCAUAGAACCCCGAUAUAGAUUGCAGUUCUCACUUUAGUAUCCAGGGUGAGGGAUGGAGGGGUGAAUCACACUGAAUAUAUUAUGUGUCAUGAGGCAAUUUGCUACCUGCUGGGGAAUUUAAAGAUAAGCAGGUGAUUUGAGGAGCAAAAUGUCCAAGAGGAGAGAUAGGUACAUAAACAGGAACCAACCGAUGCUAUGAUGGAGGACCACAGAAAGUUAGAGUGAUCUGUACACAUAAAACCAGGCCGGUCACAAAUAUUUGGAGCUUAGGAAGAGUAUAGCUGGAGGCCCAUGUAACAUAUGUCUGUUUAAAAGAUAUAUAUGAGCUAACAGACUGUUAAAUAGAAUAUGUUCUCCUCUUCUGUGACAAAUAGAAUUUCAUAAAACCUGAAGGGUCAGGUCUGAGUUCAAAAUUCUCAGAGUUCUGAGAACAUGGCAGUGCAGGGAAAGAUGGCCCGUGGCUCCCAGCCUGUGACCUUUUGCAUUCUCCCUUCCUUUUACUCCUUCUGGUUCCUUUUCCUACUUGGUUGCAUAUAUAUGGACACACAGAUGGUAUAUAUAAGCUCCAAACACAACCUCCACAAACAGCUCUCCCUCGGUCACAACUGAGUUUAGAGUGCACCCACCAGGGGUGCCAUUUUUGUCUUUUGGAGCAAAAGAUUCAGGAAGCAGACCCACUCAGGCUUUGAAAGCCGAGUCAAAGCCAUUUAAACAAGAAUUCCAAGGUCCUAGAUACCAGAAUCUGAUUUAGAAGGGGGUGCCUGUUGGGGUGGGGGGUGGGGGGGGCUAGGCCCAACCCACUGGCUCUAGGGACACUCUGGCCUAUAGUAUGAGGCAUAGCAGACAGGGCUACUGCAAGGCAUUCUGAGUCAUGGUCAUCCUCCGGCCUGGGUCAAAAUGUAGUAUUGCUUAGGCUCUUUCAUCACAUUUUCCUCUAAAUGAAUCAUCUUAAAAUAUAUGCAUCUUUCUAGCAUCGGAUGUUCUGGUUUGCUUUAAGGACAGGGUAAGUGUAUUUACUUGAUUUUCAGUCCCCACCUGAUGAAUUCUUGAAGAAAUGUUAUUUCUGGGUAUAUGAAGCAUGAUAAUUCUAUUUUCCAGUGGCUAUACAGGCUAAUAAGAUACCACAAGGGAAAGGAAAAUAAGAAGAAAUUUUUCUUGGCUGCAAAUCCCAAUUUAGAAUCUAAAAUACAAUAGGACCAUCUUCAAAGACAAAGGACCAUGUGUUUCCAAGCAUUUCUUUCAACCAGACAUUUUCCUAUCAACUGGCUGCUUUCAUUUACUACCAUCUGCAGGCCAUGCUUUUUCUGGAUCAGUUUUCAUCAGGGUCACAAGGAAAUAACACAUCUCAGGUGAGUCCCAGCAAGGUGAGUCCUUCACUACAGGUGUCCUGCACCUGCUCUCAAGCCUAUCUUCACCUCAGUUCCUGAUUUUGCUUGGCUUUCUGCUUAUUUUUCAAUCUUUCUUUUUCUUGUUCUUGCUCAGUAUCUAUAGAUCUUCCCAUUGCUAAUCAUCUCAUCAACUUCUGGCCACUUGCCAUGUUCUUUCUCUAGUACUGAUAUAUUGCUGUCUUGACCUCUAAGUUUCUUGUGAUUUAUGAUGACCUAAACCAGUCUCAUCAUCCUACCCAGUUCCCUGACCUAGAGCCACCCACACACUAGUAGAGUGGAAGCAAAAAUAGACCAUGCCUUGAAGUAAAAUCACCUCCUCCAGUCUUAAUUCUCGUAUAUCAUAGCAGCAGAGAUGAGUGGAUUUUGUUUUUCACUUAUUUGGCUGCUUCUUUUGCAAUAACUUUUUCUUUUUACUCAACCCUAUGAAACCCAUCUAGACCCUGUAAUAUGGUGGACAUCAAUGUUAUAUAAGACCAUUCUAUCUCUAAAUUGUGAACCUGAGCAUAUUACCCUUUGACUAUGACACUGUACUUCCAACUAUUCCCACUUUGGACUCAUCAGAACUUCUAGUCUAUUGACCCCUACAUGCUAAGCAAUUCUUCAGUCUGUUAAUUUCCUCACUUCCCUUCUUAUCCAGUUUAUAUACCAUAAUCAUUCAUUUCAAAACCACUCUCAGAGUUCUCUUGUGGCACAGCAGGUUAAGGAUCUGGCGUUGUUGCUACAGUGGCUAGGGGUUGCCAUUGUGGCACAGGUCUGGUCCCUGAUUCAAGAAUUUCCACAUGCAAGGACAAAUAAAUAAAUAAAUAAAUAAACACUCUAGUUCACACUGAUCAGAAUGGCCAUCAGCAAAAAGUCUACAAAUAAUAAAUGCUGUUGAGGGUAUGAAGAAAACAGAACCCUCCUACACUCUUGGUGGGAGUAUGCAUUAAUAAAGCUGCUAUGGAGAACAGUAUAAAGGUUCCUUAAAAAACUAAGUAUAAAGUUACCAUAUGAUCCUACAAUCCCAUAUCUGGGGAUAUAUCCAGAGAAAACCAUAAUUCAAAAAGAUACACGCAUCCAAUGUUCAUAGCAGCACUAUUUACAAUAGUUGAGACAUGGAAACAACCAAAUGUCCACAGACAAAUGAAUAAAUAAGAUGUGAUAUAUAUAUAUAUAAUGAAAUACUACUCAGCCAUAAAAAAGGAUGAAAUAAAGCCAUUUGCAGCAACAUGGAUGGAUCUAGAGAUUAUCAUACUGAGUGAAGUAAGUCAGACAGAGAAAAAUAAAUAGCAUAUGAUAUCACCUAUAUGUGGAAUCUAAAAAAAAUGAUACAAAUGAAUUUAUUUACAAAAUAGAAAUGGACUCAUAGACAUAUAAAACAAGCUUAUGGUUGCCAAAGAGGAAAGAUGGGGGGAGGGAUAAAUUUGGAACUUAGUAUUAACAUAUAUACACUACUAUAUAUAAAGCCAAUAAUCAACAAGGACCUACUGUACAGCACAUGGAACUCUACUCAGUAUUAUGUAAUAACCUAUAAAGGAAAAUAAUCUAAAUAUAUAUAUAUGUAUAUAUGUAUGUAUAUAAGUGAAUCACUUGGCUAUACACCUGAAACAUUGUGUAUCAAUUAUACUUUAAUAAAAAAAAAUCAACCACUAAGUUAUUUUAAAAAAACCACUCUUGUUGAUACCCCAAACUCCUUUAUGCCCUUGUAUUUUAUUACAUUCGAACUGGGAUCAACACUGCUGUUGGGUUUUCUCUCUGGCAACACUUAAACAUCUAAUAAUUUCAGAGCAAAUUGUUGUCAUCAUAAAUACAUAAUCACAAACCUCAAGUGAACCCUCGACACUGCCCAUCAAUCCUACCAAUUUCAUCUAACUAAACAACCCUCUCAAUUCUCCAUUUUCCUCAAAACUGUGAUGAUGCCUGCUCAGGCUGCCCUUACUAUGUACAGCCAACCAUCUUUCUUCCUUCCAUCAUAGAGAAAAUUGAAGCUGUCAGAAAAAGUCCCCUCAUUUUUCAGUUAUCAGUUCCUCUAUCUAUUAUACUCAAGAUAAUGCCCAGUACUGGACAUACCCUGCCUCUCAUCCCACAUCCCUACCACCUGUAUGCUUUAGCCAUGCUGGCUUUCUUGAUAAGAAUCAUUGAAAUUAUUGGAUAAAUUAAAAUUUCCAAGCCCACUAGAUUAGCACUUUAAUGGGUAAACUUAACAAGAAAGCAGAAUACUUAACAAGAGCCUUAGGUCCUUCUUACUACCCAAAGGAAAAAUGGGGGUAAACACAUCAUGAUCUCUCCCUUCACAGGGCUUUUCAAAUGCUUGUCAAACUCCUUAGAAAGCUCUUCUUCCCUUUCUCCCCUCUCUUCCUCUGCCCACUAUAACAGAUUUACUCCUACUUAUCUCCCAACUUUCUACUCAGGCAUCACAUCAACAGGAAAGCCCUGAUUCACAACCCCACCCACUGUCAUCAAGGUCAGGAGUUCCCUUUGUCCUAUGCUCUCUCAUACGACCACAUUCCUUCCUUUCAAGAUCCUCAGCCCAGUUUCACAUCUCACACUCUUCAUGUGAUUAUUUGGUCAUUGUCUCUCUACCAGACUGUGAUGUUAGAUGCCACCUCUGUGGUCAUUCAUCAUUGUUCCUACAAUACCUAGACAGUAACCUGGUAUAGAUACCAAUUCCCCAAUAAUAAUAAAUGCUUGAAUGAACAAGUGUGGAAUGAGUUAAUGAAUGAAUUGACUCUUAAAACUGACAAGAGAUGUUGGAGAUUAACAAAUGAUCAUUUUGAGUUAUUUAAUCUCUAUUUGUAUAUUUUUAGUGUUGAGCAAUCUUUCGGAUAGUGUUAGAAAAUUCAUUUUUCUAUUAAAUUUAAACCCACUCCAUUGCUUCUUGCCACUGAUACUUACAGUUCAGGCUUCUUGGAAAUAUGAUCAGUCUGUUUCCUCUUAAUGAUACCCCUUCUAUUUGAAAAUUUUAAGCAUGUGUCCCCUAUGUCUUUUUUUCUCCUACAUGAAUAAACACAUUUGCUUGAUUUGGGAGAGUUCUCAGACCUAACUAUCCCCACCCCAGCUGGAGCACACCCUAAGGAACACAGAAACAAGAUAGGAACAACAGAGCCAUGAAACUCUCAGUUCAUAGCUUUAAAUCAUUACUUUGAGAAGAUGAGACUGUUUUCUUCCUUCUACCCGAUACAGUUUAAAUUACAAAGACAUUAAACCACCAAACAGCAAUAUCUCCAAGAAGGAUUGUACCUACAAGGGGAUGAAUCCACAGGGCACAUGGGAUUUAUUACAAGCACUUUUAUUGGAGCGAUUUGUUGACAAAUGACCAAGAAGGAGUAUAGAGUGAUCAGCCAUAAUAAAAAAAAAAAACCCUUAUGUAGAUCAUUUCCCCAAAUACCAUCUGGGAGAGAAACUGAGCCAGAUUCCUGAACCAAAGGUAAGUUUUCUGUCCAUUUCCACUGGUAGUUUUUAUAUGUCAUCUCUGGAGAAAUUUCAGGUGCUUCAAAUCUAAACCUGUAUCAAAGUUGUGAUUUAUAAAAAUGGCAGAGGGGUUCUAUUUGUCUCUAUUUGCUAAUCCUAGCCAAAAGCUGAAAAGAAUUGGAGUUUAAAUCCUAUUACUUGCUCACAGCCCCCAUCCCCCAAGGCCACAGUGUUAAAUUGAUACAAUUACCCCUGGAAUGAGUGAGGAGGUUGUCACACUGACCAACUGUUUCUAGUGUUCGUCAGGAGACAGCUGGGUCUUCCAGAUUAAGAGAACCACAUGUCCCUCUCAUAGCUGAAAUCCUUUCCAAGGGUCACUUUUACAGGUUGCUCCAAAAACUAGAGGCAGAAGGACCACGUCAUGGCUUGGCUCUGGGCCCAGGAGGCCAGGUGCCAUUAAAGAGCGCGUAUUAAGAGCUACUUUAACAGUGUAUUUUAAGACAGUGAUGCUACUACCUUAUGGCAAAAUAUGGCAGCAAAUGACAGCCUGCAAUUCGGACAUAACCAAAUUGCUUAUGGGGUCAGAACAAUGGAGGUCAGUACUGACCCAGUAUUUUUAAGCUUGAGAAAAUCAAGUAAAGACCUAGGGCACUGGCUAUAGGAACAAAAGGAAAAGACUUAUAAUAAAAAGAAUCCA
rnacentral:lncRNA from 1 species